CAGCACGAAGAGCAAUCCUGGUGGCGAGUGGCGAACGGGUGAGUAAUAUAUCGGAACGUGCCCAGUCGUGGGGGAUAACGCAGCGAAAGCUGUGCUAAUACCGCAUACGAUCUACGGAUGAAAGCGGGGGAUCGCAAGACCUCGCGCGAUUGGAGCGGCUGAUAUCAGAUUAGCUAGUUGGUGGGGUAGAGGCCUACCACCGCGGCGAUGUGUUGCUGCU
rnacentral:rRNA from 1 species